GGAGGCUUUAGCUUAAUUAAAGCGUUUGAGUUGCAUUCAUAGGAUGUAUAUUAGAGUUUUACAGGCCUU
rnacentral:tRNA from 1 species